rnacentral:tRNA from 1 species
GGCAGUGUGGUUUAGUGGUAACAAGUAGGGCUUGUAACCGAAAGGCUGCUGGUUCGAUUCCCUGCUGGAGCACUGCUG